UACAGAGGUCUCAAGCGUUUGUUCGGAUUCAUUGGGCGUAAAGGGUGCGUAGGUGGCGCGCUAAGUCAGGUGUGAAAUUUCGGAGCUUAACUCCGAAACUGCAUUUGAUACUGGCGUGCUUGAGGACUGGAGAGGAGACUGGAAUUCAUGGUGUAGCAGUGAAAUGCGUAGAGAUCAUGAGGAAGACCAGUGGCGAAGGCGGGUCUCUGGACAGUAACUGACGCUGAGGAGCGAAAGCGUGGGGAGCGAACAGG
rnacentral:rRNA from 1 species